GAUUCUUUAUAAUUACAUGGAGAACGGGAGCCUUCAUGAUAUUCUCCAUGAGACUAAGCCACCUGUAACAUUAGAAUGGAGCGUUCGGUACCAAAUUGCUAUUGGAGUUGCUCAAGGGUUGUCAUAUCUCCAUUUCGACUGUGAUCCUGCCAUCGUGCAUCGAGACAUCAAGCCCAUGAAUAUCUUGUUGGACUCUGAUCUGGAGCCUCACAUAUCAGAUUUUGGUAUUGCCAAGCUUCUGGAUCAGUCUGCAGCAACUUCCGCCUCCAAUGCCCUUCAGGGCACAGUUGGG
rnacentral:misc_RNA from 1 species